rnacentral:tRNA from 1 species
AAGAGCCUUCAAAGCUCUAAGCAAGUGCUACACACUUAACCCCUG